rnacentral:rRNA from 1 species
UACGUAGGCAGCGAGCGUUGUUCGGAGUUACUGGGCGUAAAGGGCGCGUAGGCGGCGCAACAAGUCACUUGUGAAAUCUCCGGGCUUAACCCGGAGCGGCCAAGUGAUACUGUCGUGCUAGAGUGCGGAAGGGGCUACUGGAAUUCUCGGUGUAGCGGUGAAAUGCGUAGAUAUCGAGAGGAACACCUGCGGCGAAGGCGGGUAGCUGGGCCGACACUGACGCUGAGGCGCGAAAGCCAGGGGAGCGAACGGG